ACCUAUUGGAUACUGGAGAGUGUCUUUGUUUGACACUGUCCCCACCACCACCACCUUGUAAGAGCACCAAAACGGCACCGUAUCCAAACUCAUCUUUCUCUUUUCUCAUUCUCCACAAACCCUAUUCCUCUUCUAAAACCCGCCAUGAUCGAUUUUAGAAAACUCAGAUUAACAUUCACAGUUUUCAAUUUCACCCAAAAUCGCACCAUUCUUAAACCCUCACUAAACCCUAGAUUUUUUAGCACACAAAAUUCCCUUCAAUUAGAUGUAAAACCUAAACUUCGCUCAAAAUCAGCGAUCAAAGAAGCUCAAUCUGCAUUGCUUGAAUAUCUUCAUUCCACGAGAAGCUUGCAAUUCUUAGACGCAGAUAACAUGUGCAAAAACUCACCUUUUUUCCUUCAAAAUCUCGUCGAAAAAUCCCUAAAAAACGAGAAUACGAUUAACACAAAAAGGUUAAUUUCUCGUUACUUACGUUACCAUCCCAUUAACGAAUUUGAACCCUUUUUCGAGAGUUUGGGUUUGAAGCCUUCUGAAUAUGCACCAUUGCUUCCUCGGGGUUUGAUUUUUCUCAAUGAUGAUCCUCUUUUGAUGGAGAAUUAUCAUACUUUGUGUAACUAUGGGGUUCCUCGAUCCAAAAUGGGGAAAAUUUUCAAAUUAGCGCCUCAGGUUUUAAGCUUUGAAAAUGGGGUUUUGAAUUUGAAGCUUAAGGCUUAUGAAAAUUUGGGUAUUUCACCUUCCAUUUUAGUGAAUGCUGUUGCUGUGAGUCCAUGUCUUUUGGUUGGUGAUGUUAAUUUUGAAUUUGUUAAGGUUGUGGAGAUUUUGAAGAGUAUUGUUGCUAAGGGUGGUGAUGGUGAUGUUGAUAGUGGUUUGAUUCAGUGGCAUUUUUUGGAUGAGGCUUCUUGUAAGUGGGGUUUAAUGCUCGAGCUCUUGUGCUGGCUUUCUGAUGCUGGUUUCAGUGAGGAACAGUUGGCUGAGAUUAUUCGUCGUAGUCCUUGUGUUGUUUUCGAGGAAUCAGGAGGUAAGACACUCUCUAUGAUUGGCUUUUUGACCAAAUUUGGAUUGUCUGUGAACCAGAUUGUGCCUGUGUUUCUGGAGUUUCCGCAGAUUCGGAUGGUCAAGUUUUUUGCUAACUUGAGGAUGUGUUUUCAGCUUUUGACUGAAAUUGAGAUGGAAGCUGCAGAGAUUGGAAAGAUUUUCCAGUCUCACACAUUAUUUGUGGGUUCCUCCACUCUCAAGACUACAAAGAGUUUGCUUGGCUGCUUGAAUGUUGGCAAGAAACGUCUCUGUAGCAUUGUGCAGGAUGAUCCUUUUGUAAUGAAGAAUUGGGUUCUGGGAAAGAGAGUUAAGCCUUUGGUUAGCAUAAGGGAGGCAGAAGAGGAGAAAUCGAAGGCGGGGAAGACAGAGUUCUUGUUGCGCUUAGGAUAUGUGGAAAAUACGAAACAAAUGAAUUCGGCAUUUAAGAUAUACAGAGGUAAGGGAGCUGAGCUUCAAGAAAGAUUUGAUUUUAUUGUUAAAGCUGGCUUGACACGCGACGAAGUUUGUAGAAUGAUUAGAGUUUCCCCUCAGAUUCUCAAUCAGAACACAGAUACGGUCAAGACGAAGAUUGAGUACCUUGAAAAACAAGGAUAUUCUGUAUCAGAUUUAGUGAGUUUCCCAUCUUAUCUUUCUUAUAAAUCUCAAAGAGUUAAGCUUAGGUUGUCAAUGUAUAAGUGGCUCAUAGACCAUGGGGCCGCAGAGCCCGGGCUUGCUUUGAGCACCUUAGUUGCGUCCACAGAUAGAAUAUUCUUACAAAGUUAUGUAAAUAAACAUCCAUCUGGUUUUCAAGUUUGGGAAAAUUUGCAGAAAGAAAUUCUUUCUGAAAAUUGAUGAAUAGUAAUCAGUUCUGGCGUGCCUAAUGAUUGUUUAAUCUGAAUUUUUUUUUUUACCAAUUGAACUGCCAUUGGUAUUGAGACAAAUCACUUCAAGUUGAUUUGUAGAUAUUUUGUAACAUUAUUCAGGGUCCGCGGCCGCGAUUUGGGUUGUGAUAUCAAAGUUUUUUUUAUCUCUUUUCCCCCACAACGCGACUGCAAUUGAAGCCGCAUCAGGUGCACUUGGAGCACAAUUCUCUGCAACAACAAAGUUUGCAAAGACAUCGGGAUAUAAAACCAUCUAUCUAUAGCAAUCAUCAUGCUGAUAUUAGACAAACGGGGACAACUAAAGGACAGCAGCUUUCAUGAGCAAGCAUCAUAGGUGAUUGUUGGUUGCAAAUGUUUCUGACACAACUUGUAGAUGGGGAAUGUUAGCUUGAUACGCCAUCUUCAAUCUGAAAUUUGCAACUUCUAGAACUCACAACUGGAGAGAACAGAAACAGAUGAGAUUUGCACACAUAGAAUCUGCAUCCGGCAUACACCUACCUGUCUGCAAUUUGGCUUGAAUCCACAGGUUGAACAUAGAUGCAAUUUGGCUUGAAUCCACAAGUUGAACAUAGAUUUAAUUAUUUGACACUUGAUAUUUUUGGACAAUACUGUGUUUGUAUUAUUGGUAGAAGUGGAGAUUGUGGUAAUAUCAAAAUGUUGCAUCUAACAGGUGGAGAUUGUGAAAA